rnacentral:rRNA from 1 species
CCUACGGGGGGCUGCAGUGGGGAAUAUUGGACAAUGGGGGGAACCCUGAUCCAGCCAUGCCGCGUGUGUGAAGAAGGCCCUCGGGUUGUAAAGCACUUUCAGUGAGGAAGAACGCCUGGUGGUUAAUACCCAUCAGGAAAGACAUCACUCACAGAAGAAGCACCGGCUAACUCCGUGCCAGCAGCCGCGGUAAUACGGAGGGUGCGAGCGUUAAUCGGAAUUACUGGGCGUAAAGCGCGCGUAGGUGGCUUGAUAAGCCGGUUGUGAAAGCCCCGGGCUCAACCUGGGAACGGCAUCCGGAACUGUCAAGCUAGAGUGCAGGAGAGGAAGGUAGCAUUCCCGGUGUAGCGGUGAAAUGCGUAGAGAUCGGGAGGAAUACCAGUGGCGAAGGCGGCCUUCUGGACUGACACUGACACUGAGGUGCGAAAGCGUGGGUAGCAAACAGGAUUAGAUACCCUUGUAGUC